UCGGCGGCCGAAACUCCCAGACAGAGACGAAAGUCUCCUUUCAGGGGCAAGCUUCGGCAGCCGAAGGCUGCUUCCACAAGCAUGUUCGGCGGCCGAAAGUUCCUUCGGCUGCCGAACCUGGUUUCUCCCUUAGUGGCAGAAACUCAGCUCUUCUAUGCAUAUACGCCUCCAAAACUUCCCAAACAUGCACAAACCUAUUCUACAACACACAUACACAAGCAUACCAGCUCCUAGGGGCUUCAAACUAUCCUAAGCCCCAUCUACAACACAUCAAACAUGCAUUGGCAAGCCAC
rnacentral:lncRNA from 1 species